CAUUCACGGAGAGUUUGAUCCUGGCUCAGGACGAACGCUGGCGGCGUGCUUAACACAUGCAAGUCGAACGAUGAAG
rnacentral:rRNA from 3 species